AUCCAGCUGUUGAGUCCCAAAUAGGACGAAAUGCGCGUCCUAGAU
rfam:Schistosoma mansoni, Puerto Rico, WGS project CABG01000000 data, contig: 0278